UACUCCUACGGGAGGCAGCAGUGAGGAAUAUUGGUCAACAGUCGAGAACCUGAACCAGCCAAGUAGCGUGCAGGAAGACGGCCCUAUGGGUUGUAAACUGCUUUUAUGUGGGGAUAAAGUGCGCGCACGUGUCGUGCAUUGCACGUACCACUUGAAUAAGGACCGGCUAAUUCCGAGCCAGCACCCGCGGUAAUAC
rnacentral:rRNA from 1 species